GUGAGGAAUAUUGGUCAAUGGGCGGAAGCCUGAACCAGCCAUCCCGCGUGAAGGAAGGCGGCCCUAUGGGUUGUAAACUUCUUUAGUACAUGAAGAACAGGAUCUACGCGUAGGUUUAUGACGGUAAUGUACAAAAAAGCAUCGGCUAACUCCGUGCCAGCAGCCGCGGUAAUACGGAGGAUGCGAGCGUUAUCCGGAUUCAUUGGGUUUAAAGGGUACGUAGGUGGCCCUGUAAGUCAGUGGUGAAAAUCUGCCGCUUAACGGUAGGGGUGCCAAUGAUACUGCGGGGCUUGAGUACAGUUGAGGUAGGUGGAAUGUGUAGUGUAGCGGUGAAAUGCAUAGAUAUUACACAGAACUCCGAUUGCGAAGGCAUCUUACUAAGCUGAAACUGACACUGAUGUACGAAAGCGUGGGGAUCGAACAGGAUUAGAUACCCCUGUAGUCC
rnacentral:rRNA from 1 species